CACCAACAUAUAUAUCCACCAUCAGAUAGAACCACCCUCAUACGUAUAUAACCGCCAUCAGAUAGAACCACCAACAUAUAUAACCACCAUCAGAUAGAACCACCAACAUAUAUAACCACCAUCAGAUAGAACCACCAACAUAUAUAACCACCAUCAGAUAGAACCACCAACAUAUAUAACCACCAUCAGAUAGAAACACCAACAUACGUAUAUAACCGCCAUCAGAUAGAACCACCAACAUAUAUAUCCACCAUCAGAUAGAACCACCAACAUAUAUAACCACCAUCAGAUAGAACCACCAACAUAUGUAUAUAACCGCCAUCAGAUAGAACCACCAACAUAUAUAACCGCCAUCAGAUAGAACCACCAACAUAUAUAACCACCAUCAGAUA
ensembl:lncRNA